rnacentral:SRP_RNA from 1 species
GCAGGCGUGGUGGUGCGAGCCUGUAAUCCAGCUACUCAGGAAGCUGAGGCUGGCGGAUCGCUUGAGCUCAGGAGUUCUGGGCUAAGUUGGCCAUGCUGAUCAGGUGUCUGCACUAUGUUCGGCAUCUAUAUGAUGAUCCCCUGGGAGCUGGGGGCCACUGGGUUGCCUAGGGAGGGGUGAACUAGCCAAGGUCAGAGCUGGAGCAGGUCUAAAACCCUAUGCAAAUCAAUAGUGGGAUACUUAUACUAAGCAUGGCUAGGUGUAAGCAUGAUUGAAAAUAAAUUCUUUAACAUCAU